UUGACUAAUGACACUGACUAGAACUCCAGCAAAGGAACAUUUCAGAUGAGGACAAUCUGAUAAAAGAUUUCUGACCACCUCUAUUCCUAGGUUUAAUUCUAAUGUAUGCAAAAUUGGCAGAGCUCAGCAAAAGACAAAAAGUAUGUUACUUUGAAAAAAAGGCCAUCAAGGGAACAUGCACUAUCAUGAGAUUCGAAACUUCUCAUCCUGUGAUUAUGUUCAGCAAAGAAAAAAAAAAUCCUGAAGGAACUAUUAUUAAUAAACAAUGUGUUUUUAUAAUCAAAGGAAAAUCAGUAGUAUUUAGUAGCAAGACUUGGUCAGGAAGAAAUACAAUUACAGUCUGGCAUGCUGUUUAUUUUAGCUUUUACAACAAACCAAGGGUUCAAGGAAUAUGAGAAUUUCACAACCAUUAACUUCUUAUACAGUCUCCAAUUCUAAAAACAGCUUAUAGUAAUUUGGUGGCAUGUACAACAUGCAUCAAAUACUCUAUUAUUCAAUAAAUAAGAUACUGCAUUGUUCUCUUCAUGGUUUACAAUCAUGUAUUUAUCCUCUUUCACUUGAAAACUCUCAUUAAUAUAAAGGUAUAAGGAUCUUGGGUAAGAACCAAGGGAAAAAACCCCCAUGACAUUUUUACUGAUUUGCUGCCCAUGGUUUUUGUUUGGAUGAGCUAUACACUUAGAAAGAGUGAUUCUCACUUGAAUAAGACAAAGCAAACCAGAAAUUCUCAAUUUAUUGCCAACAGAAUAG
rnacentral:lncRNA from 1 species